rnacentral:rRNA from 1 species
GAGUAGGGAAUCUUCCACAAUGGACGAAAGUCUGAUGGAGCAACGCCGCGUGAGUGAAGAAGGGUUUCGGCUCGUAAAACUCUGUUGUUAAAGAAGAACAUAUCUGAGAGUAACUGUUCAGGUAUUGACGGUAUUUAACCAGAAAGCCACGGCUAACUACGUGCAG